CUGGAAAGGCUACAGGUAGCUCCGCUUCGAAUUUGUAACCCACGAUUCCUGGAGCUGUUUACCUUUCCUGUUGCAGAUAAGACUGCAGCAGGUUGAAGGAGAGAAGAGGACUAGCAAAGGUAGUGGCUGCAGGAAGGCUCCCAGAGCUAACAUGGUGAUCAUCACCACCAACAUCACACACAGGCUGGCAAACUAGAAGGAGAGCGCUUAUAAUCGCCACCUGACCUGCGAGGUCCCACCGGCGCUGUCCACGGCCAGGGUGACAGACAGGGCGCAGCAGAUGACGUGGAUCUUAAAGAAGGAGCCCAGGAAAUUACUGCAGCCCAGGGCCAGCAUCUCCUGACCAGAGAGAGGCAUUCACACCUGAUUGGGGUCGACAUCAUAGCCAUGCUUAGCCGCCAGUGUCCGGCCCAUGGCCAGGUUGAUGACAUAUCCUACGAUGGCCAGAGAGAAGGCUGUGCUCAGCAUGACCUCCCACUCACUCACUUUGGGGAGGAUGGGUGUGGGGAACCUGUUUGGAUUGGGUCAAAAGACAUGGUUGGAAAUAUUUAUAUUCCAGUGAAAAUCAGAAGAACUGGCUUUAUCGCUGGGUGUGCCCUCACCCGAGAGGAAUCUCUCCAACGAUGUCCAUGUGGUAUUUCCUUGGCAUGUCAAGAGGCCCAGAGAUAGCUGUAGCAACCACCACCUACGUGAGAGAAAGGCCCAUUAAACACAGAAACGGAAACCACAGUUAAUCACCCAGAAUCAUUCUUUUAUAGAUGUAUAAAUAUAUUCAAAGCAUGUCUUUACUGUUUUUGGUCCUUAUCUUUCGGCAGUUGAGUCAGAAUCUUGGUGUUUGUAAACUAUAACAUUUCAUUAUGAAAUUGUCAUUUAGAUACCUCUGUACAUUUAAAAAGCAGGAAGUUUCAAUAAUAUCAUAACAAUUUUAACAUUUUUAACUUUCUCUGCUAACACUGGUAAACUGAAACACUGGUUGUUUUCUUACCGAAUGCUUUAUUUGUAUAGACAUGUGAUUGUUUUGAAUUUGUGUAUUCAGAGACGAUUCUAAGAUUUAAGGUGUGGGGUGUAAAAGAACCCAUAAUUCAUAGAGAGGGGAGGGGCCAACCUUAUCAUUAGCCAAUGAUGUUUGAAUUGGUGAGUGACGGGGAAGGGGCACUCCGGGGACCAAUCAGAGUUCAGCUGCGGCCAGUGUCCCUGUGUCCCCCCUCCCCUGUCUAUACUUCAUAAAGUUCUUUAAGGAAGUUAUAAAUAAUAGUGCACAGUGUUCUGACUAUGUGUGUUUUCCCUAACCGUUGUGAAUAAAGUAUCAUGAA